AAAGCCAAGUGAGAUAAUCAUUAUGUUUUAUUGGCCUGUUGCCAGCCCUAAGCCCUUAAUGUUAUAUCAACACCAUGAGGCUCUAAGGGCAGCAAGCCUGGGCUGGUUGCUGCUCUGUGCGUGUGAGGGGGGGUGAAGUAGCAUACAUAAAGACAAUCUUUAUUCAAACAAAACUGAGCACAGUCUAACCACCCAAUCACGUUGUUGAAAAUUCCCAGCUCAACAGAGCAGUGAUAGAGAGACAGCCAAUCAGAGUGCAGCAGGGUGAAGGACCUCGGACCGCCACCUGUAGGACCUCCACCCUGAAGGACCUCCACCCUGUAGGACUUACAGGGUGGAGGUCCUUCAGGGUGGAGGUCCUACAGGGUGGAGGACCUACAGGGUGGAGGUCCUUCAGGGUGGAGGUCCUUCAGGAUGGAGGUCCUUCAGGGUGGAGGUCCUUCAGGGUGGAGGACCUUCAGGGUGGAGGUCCCUGUUGGAGUGGUGUCACCAGAGGGGAUCUGAAGGCUGGUUGUGGUUCUGCCUCAGAGACGAUGCAGGAAUAGUUCCAGAUAGAUCCAGAUAGAUCCGGAUAGAUCCGGAUAGAUCCAGAUAGAUCCAGAUAGAUCCGGAUAGAUCCAGAUAGAUCCAGAUAGAUCCAGAUAGAUCCAGAUCGAGUAGAGAUCAUCAACAUUCCUUGCCACUGUGUGUGUGUGUGUGUGUGUGUGUGUGUGUGUGUGUGUGUGUGUGUGUGUGUGUGUGUGUGUGUGUGUGUGUGUGUGUGUGUGAGAGAGAUAGAGAGUGACAGAGAGAGAUGAACGAGAGCAAUGAGCUUAGGUCGGGAGGUCUGCAGUGAUUCCCCACCACUAGAGGGAGCCACACAUCAGAGAGAGAGAGAGAGAGAGAGAAAGAGAGAGAGGGAGAGAGGGAGACGGAGAG
ensembl:lncRNA